GACGAACGCUGGCGGCGUGCCUAAUACAUGCAAGUAGAACGCACAGUUUAUACCGUAGCUUGCUACACCAUAGACUGUGAGUUGCGAACGGGUGAGUAACGCGUAGGUAACCUGCCUGGUAGCGGGGGAUAACUAUUGGAAACGAUAGCUAAUACCGCAUAAUAUUAAUUAUUGCAUGAUAAUUAAUUGAAAGGUGCAAUUGCACCACUACCAGAUGGACCUGCGUUGUAUUAGCUAGUAGGUGAGGUAACGGCUCACCUAGGCGACGAUACAUAGCCGACCUGAGAGGGUGAUCGGCCACACUGGGACUGAGACACGGCCCAGACUCCUACGGGAGGCAGCGGUAGGGAAUCUUCGGCAAUGGACGAAAGUCUGACCGAGCAACGCCGCGUGAGUGAAGAAGGUUUUCGGAUCGUAAAGCUCUGUUGUAAGAGAAGAACGGGUGUGAGAGUGGAAAGUUCACACUGUGACGGUAGCUUACCAGAAAGAGACGGCUAACUACGUG
rnacentral:rRNA from 1 species